CCGAAAAUGCAAGACUUGCUUUAAUUGUUUUCUGUCAGUGUUUAUAUGUAUUGAUCUAGCACAGUGUAAAUAACAUGAGUUCCAUAUAUAGUAAAUAAUACAGAAAGAAAUUGAAGGAAAACAAUUAAAGCAAGUCUUGCAUUUUCGG
rnacentral:miRNA from 1 species